rnacentral:rRNA from 1 species
GUCUUUAGGAAAAUAAUUUAAAGUCUAACCUGCCAAGUGAGGUGUUUAACGGCUGCAGUAUUUUGACUGUACAAAGGUAGCAUAAUCAUUAGUUUUUUAAUUGAAAUCUAGAAUGAAAGGUUGAAUGAGAAAUUGACUGUUUCAGAUUUAAUUAAUUAGAAUUUUAUUUUUAAGUUAAAAAGCUUAAAUUUAAUUUAAAGACGAGAAGACCCUAUAGAAUUUUAUAUAUUAUUUAUUAAUUUAUAAUAGAUGAAAAUUAAUUUAGUAAUAAUAUAUUUGGUUGGGGUGACUAUAAUAUUUAAUAAACUUUUAAAAUUUUAAUUCAAUAAUGAUUGUUAAAAUGAUCCAUAAAUUAUGAUUAAUAGAAUAAAUUACCUUAGGGAUAACAGCGUAAUUUUUUUGGAAAGUACUUAUUAAUAAAAGAGAUUGCGACCUCGAUGUUGGAUUAAAAUUUAAUUUUGGUGUAGAAGCUAAAAAAUUAGGUCUGUUCGACCUUUAAAAUUUUACA